rnacentral:rRNA from 1 species
UACAGAGGUCUCAAGCGUUGUUCGGAUUCAUUGGGCGUAAAGGGUGCGUAGGUGGCAUGGUCAGUCGGAUGUGAAAUCCCGGGGCUCAACCCCGGAACUGCAUUCGAUACUGCCGCGCUAGAGUACUGGAGAGGAGAUUGGAAUUUACGGUGUAGCAGUGAAAUGCGUAGAUAUCGUAAGGAAGACCAGUGGCGAAGGCGGAUCUCUGGACAGUUACUGACACUGAGGCACGGAAGGCCAGGGGAGCAAACGGG